AUUGAACGCUGGCGGCAUGCUUUACACAUGCAAGUCGAACGGCAGCGCGGGGCAACCUGGCGGCGAGUGGCGGACGGGGGAGUAAUAUAUAGGAGCGGACCCAGAAGUGGGGGAUAACGUAGCGAAAGUUACGCUAAUACCGCAUACGAUCUACGGAAGAAAGUAGGGGAGCGCAAGACCGUAUGCUGUUGGAGCGGCCGAUAACUGAUUAGCUAGUUGGUGAGGUAAAGGCUCACCAAGGCGACGAUCAGUAGCUGGUCUGAGAGGACGAGCAGCCACACUGGAACUGAGACACGGUCCAGACUCCUACGGGAGGCAGCAGUGGGGAAUUUUCGGCAAUGGGCGCAAGCCUGAUCCAGCAAUGCCGCGUGAGUGAAGAAGGCCUUCGGGUUGUAAAGCUCUGUUGUCAGGGAAGAACAGGUAGAUGCUAAUAUCCUCUGCUAAUGACGGUACCUGAAGAAUAAGCACCGGCUAACUACGUG
rnacentral:rRNA from 1 species